rnacentral:rRNA from 1 species
CCUACGGGAGGCAGCAGUGGGGAAUUUUGCGCAAUGGGGGGAACCCUGACGCAGCAACGCCGCGUGCGGGACGAAGGCCUUCGGGUUGUAAACCGCUUUCAGCAGGGAAGACAUAGACGGUACCUGCAGAAGAAGCUCCGGCUAACUACGUGCCAGCAGCCGCGGUAAUACGUAGGGGGCGAGCGUUAUCCGGAUUCAUUGGGCGUAAAGCGCGCGUAGGCGGCCGCCUAAGCGGAACCUCUAAUCCCGGGGCUCAACCUCGGGCCGGGUUCCGGACUGGGCGGCUCGAGUGCGGUAGAGGCAGGCGGAAUUCCCGGUGUAGCGGUGGAAUGCGCAGAUAUCGGGAAGAACACCGAUGGCGAAGGCAGCCUGCUGGGCCGCCACUGACGCUGAGGCGCGAAAGCUGGGGGAGCGAACAGGAUUA